rnacentral:rRNA from 1 species
GGGGGCAAGCGUUGUUCGGAAUUACUGGGCGUAAAGAGCGAGCAGGUGGUUCAUUAAGUCAAUUGUGAAAGCUCAAGGCUUAACCUUGAAAUUGCUUUUGAUACUGAUGAACUAGAGUUUGGGAGAGGAUAGUGGAAUUCUAAGUGUAGAAGUGAAAUUCGUAGAUAUUUAGAGGAACACCGACAGCGAAGGCAACUAUCUGGCCCUUUACUGACACUCAGAAGCGAAAGCUUGGGUAGCAAACAGGAUUAGAUACCCUGGUAGUCCAUGCUGUAAACGAUGAGUGCUAGAUGUUAGAAGUUUACUUCUAGUAUCGAAGCUAACGCGUUAAGCACUCCGCCUGGGGAGUACGGCCGCAAGGCUAAAACUCAAAUGAAUUGACGGGGACCCGCACAAGCAGUGGAGCAUGUGGUUUAAUUCGACGCUACGCGAAGAACCUUACCAGCUCUUGACAUGCUAAGUUUUGGAUUUAAGAGAUUAAAUUCUUCAGUUCGGCUGGGCUUAGUACAGGUGCUGCAUGGCUGUCGUCAGCUCGUGUCGUGAGAUGUUCGGUUAAGUCCGGCAACGAGCGCAACCCUCAUCUUCAGUUACUAACAGGUUAAGCUGAGGACUCUGGAGAAACUGCCGUUGGAAAAGCGGAGGAAGGCGAGGAUGACGUCAAGUCCUCAUGGCCCUUAUGGGCUGGGCUACACACGUGCUACAAUGGUAAUUACAAUGAGUCGCAAAGGGGCAACCUGGAGCUAAUCUCAAAAAAUUAUCUAAGUUCGGAUUGUUCUCUGCAACUCGAGAGCAUAAAGUUGGAAUUGCUAGUAAUCGUGGAUCAGCAUGCCACGGUGAAUAC